UUAAGUCCCGCAACGAGCGCAACCCCUACUGCCAGUUACUAACAGGUAACGCUGAGGACUCUGGCGGAACUGCCGGUGACAAACCGGAGGAAGGUGGGGAUGACGUCAAGUCAUCAUGGCCCCUAUGUCCAGGGCUACACACGUGCUACAAUGGGCGAUACAGAGUGACGCGAAGCCGCGAGGUGGAGCAAAUCGCAGAAAAUCGCUCUCAGUUCGGAUUGGAGUCUGAAACCCGACUCCAUGAAGGUGGAAUCGCUAGUAAUCGCGCAUCAGCAUGGCGCGGUGAAUACGUUCCCGGGCCUU
rnacentral:rRNA from 1 species